UUAUAAGUUUAUGUUUUGAUUUUUGUAAACUAGAUGUGGUUUAAAAGAAGGUUACAGAUGUGGUCAUUGAAGCCAUGAACGGACUUCCAACGUUCGCCACGAGUCAAGGUGGACCGGCUGAGAUAAUCACUGAUGAUGUCUCUGGUUUCCACAUUUAUCCCAACAAUGGUGAUGAAUAUGUUUCCAGGAUUGGAGAUAUCUUCAGCAAGUGUAGUACAGAUGGUUUGUAUUGGGAUACUAUCUCUAAGGCUGGUCCAAACGUAUCUAUGAGUGCUACACAUGGAAGAUCUAUGCAGAGAAGUUACUGAAAAUGGGAAGCAUAUAUGGAUUUUGGAGACAAGCGAAUGAAUUCAGAAGAAAACUAAGCAGUACAUUGACAUGCUUUACAAUCUCGAGUUCAAACAUUGACCAAGAAAGUGACUAUCCCGGAAGAUAAAGCUCUACCACUAAGAUUGGCUUAACUAUGUAGCCUUCUUCC